rnacentral:tRNA from 1 species
GGGUGCGUAGCUCAGCUGGUAGAGCAGUGCCCUUUUAAGGCAUUGGUCGAAGGUUCGAUUCCUUCCGCACUCACAA